AAAUAUAAUAAUAAUUAAAUUAUUAUUUUAGAGGAAUUAUAAAAUAUAGAGAAUAUGAUGUUAGUUCAGACUUAAUACUAUAUAGAGACAUAACACAUGCAAAUCAAACGAUUAUUUAAUUGAUAUAUAAUUAUAUAAUAUUAAUAUUAUAUAAUUCAAAUAAUAAUAAUUAAGUGGUGUAUCCGUGAGUAAUAAAUAGAAUUAGAACUAAUAUAUCUUUUAAAUGAGGAAUAAUAAAUAAAGAUAAUUAUUAAUUAAUUAUUGAUAUUAGUCAAGCUAUUAGCAGUAUAGGUAUUAUGUAGGAUAAUAGCCAUACAUAGCCGAUAAUCUGUAGCAAUUAAUUAACGUUAUAAUUGUCACGUCGAUUAUCAAAUACAAUCGAUAUCUAUAUGAUACAGCAGUGAGGAAUAUUGGGCUUAGAUCGAAAGAUUGACCCAGUUAUCUAUAAUAAUGAAAUUUCAAUUUUCUUAUUUAUUUUUUUUUAAAAUUUAAAUAUAGUAAAGAAAAAAUUGUUAUAAAUUAAAGUUAUAGACUAGCGAGAAUAAUGAUAGUAGCUAUCAUCAGAUUAUGAUGAAUAUAAAAUUUAUUUUUUUAUAUGUCGAUUAGUACCGAUUAAGAUAUGUGCCAGCAUUCGCGGUUAUACAUAGGGUGCAAGUAUUAGUUAUAUUGGUUUAAAGGAUCCGUAGAAUUUAUAUAUAAUAUAUAUAUAUAGAGUUAACAAUAGUAAUAAAUGAAUUAUAAUAGUAAUGAUGAAAUAUUAUGAUAAUUAUAGGACAGUCAAAAUUGAAAAUAUUUAUUAUAUGUUAACUGACAUUGAGGGAUGAAGGCUAAAUUAAUGAAAUGGAUUCGAUACCCAAGUAAUUUUAGCAGUAAACUAUGAGUACUGAAUAUUUAUAAUAAAUAAAUAUUUAAGAGAAAUCAAUAGUAUUCCACCAGGAGAGUAUAAUAACUCAAUGGAAACCCAAUACAAUAGACGGUUAUAAUCAAUAGCAGUGGAGUAUGUUAUUUAAUUUGAUAAUCCCCAAAAAUCUUACCACAUCUUGAAUAUUAUCUUUAAUGAUAUUACAGGCGUUACAUAGUUGUCUUCAGUUCGUGCUGUGAAGUUUAAGGUUAGUUCCGUAAACGAACGCAUUCCUGUAUAAAUAUAUUAAUAUUUAUAAUUCUUUAUUUAAAUGCAUAAAGAGAAUAGGUUUAAGACAAAUCAUUAUGACCCUAAUGUUGUGGGCUAUAGACGUACUAUAAAAUAAUAUAUAAAAUUUAAUUAAAUAGUGAUAUUUAAUGAUAAAUACAACUUAUUAAAAUAUGUUAUAUAUUAAUAUAUAAUUUUAGUAUGAAUUAUAUCCUGUAAUUCGGAUAUAUGAAACAAGAAUUGCUAGUAAUCUGUAAUUAAGUAUAUUACGGUGAAUAUUAUUAAUUGUUUCGCACUAAUUACUCGUCACGCGUAAAUUAAAAUAAAUAACAAAAAUAAAUAUUAUAUUAUUAAUCUUUUAUUAUUUAAUAAUUGUUUUGAUUUUUUAAUUUUAUUUAGUUAUCUGUUUUAUAUUAUUGCGAAGUCGAAAUACAGUUACUGUAGGGGAACCUGCAGUGGGCUAUAUUUAAUCUUUAUUCAUAUUCACA
rnacentral:rRNA from 1 species